GACGAACGCUGGCGGCGUGCCUAAUACAUGCAAGUCGAGCGAAUCGAUGGGAGCUUGCUCCCUGAGAUUAGCGGCGGACGGGUGAGUAACACGUGGGUAACCUGCCUGUAAGACUGGGAUAACUUCGGGAAACCGGAGCUAAUACCGGAUACGUUCUUUUCUCGCAUGAGGAGAGAUGGAAAGAUGGUUUCGGCUAUCACUUACAGAUGGACCCGCGGCGCAUUAGCUAGUUGGUGAGGUAACGGCUCACCAAGGCGACGAUGCGUAGCCGACCUGAGAGGGUGAUCGGCCACACUGGGACUGAGACACGGCCCAGACUCCUACGGGAGGCAGCAGUAGGGAAUCUUCCGCAAUGGACGAAAGUCUGACGGAGCAACGCCGCGUGAGCGAAGAAGGCCUUCGGGUCGUAAAGCUCUGUUGUUAGGGAAGAACAAGUACAAGAGUAACUGCUUGUACCUUGACGGUACCUAACCAGAAAGCCACGGCUAACUACGUGCCAGCAGCCGCGGUAAAAC
rnacentral:rRNA from 1 species